rnacentral:rRNA from 1 species
GACGAACGCUGGCGGCGUGCUUAACACAUGCAAGUCGAACGAAAAGAGGGAAAGAGCUUGCUCUUUCCGGAAUUGAGUGGCAAACGGGUGAGUAACACGUAAACAACCUGCCUUCAGGAUGGGGACAACAGACGGAAACGACUGCUAAUACCGAAUAAGUUCCAAGGGCCGCAUGGCCCAUGGAAGAACAGGUGGCCUCUACCUGUAAGCUAUCGCCUGAAGAGGGGUUUGCGUCUGAUUAGCUGGUUGGAGGGGUAACGGCCCACCAAGGCGACGAUCAGUAGCCGGUCUGAGAGGAUGAACGGCCACACUGGAAUUGAGACACGGUCCAGACUCCUACGGGAGGCAGCAGUGGGGAAUCUUCCGCAAUAGGCGAAAGCCUGACGGAGCAACGCCGCGUGAGUGAUGACGGCCUUCGGGUUGUAAAACUCUGUGAUCCGGGACGAAAAGGCAGAGUGCGAAGAACAAACUGCAUUGACGGUACCGGAAAAGCAAGCCACGGCUAACUACGUG